GACGAACGCUGGCGGCGUGCCUAAUACAUGCAAGUUGAGCGAUGAAGCUUGGUGCUUGCACCAAUUUGAAGAGCAGCGAACGGGUGAGUAACGCGUGGGGAAUCUGCCUUUGAGCGGGGGACAACAUUUGGAAACGAAUGCUAAUACCGCAUAAUAACUUUAAACAUAAGUUUUAAGUUUGAAAGAUGCAAUUGCAUCACUCAAAGAUGAUCCCGCGUUGUAUUAGCUAGUUGGUGAGGUAAAGGCUCACCAAGGCGAUGAUACAUAGCCGACCUGAGAGGGUGAUCGGCCACAUUGGGACUGCGACACGGCCCAAACUCCUACGGGAGGCAGCAGUAGGGAAUCUUCGGCAAUGGACGAAAGUCUGACCGAGCAACGCCGCGUGAGUGAAGAAGGUUUUCGGAUCGUAAAACUCUGUUGGUAGAGAAGAACGUUGGUGAGAGUGGAAAGCUCAUCAAGUGACGGUAACUACCCAGAAAGGGACGGCUAACUACGUG
rnacentral:rRNA from 1 species